UACGGAGGGGGCUAGCGUUGUUCGGAAUUACUGGGCGUAAAGCGCACGUAGGCGGCUUUGCAAGUCAGAGGUGAAAGCCCGGGGCUCAACCCCGGAAUUGCCUUUGAGACUGCAUCGCUAGAAUUGUGGAGAGGUAAGUGGAAUUCCGAGUGUAGAGGUGAAAUUCGUAGAUAUUCGGAAGAACACCAGUGGCGAAGGCGACUCACUGGACACGUAUUGACGCUGAGGUGCGAAAAGCGUGGGGAGCAAACAGG
rnacentral:rRNA from 1 species